rnacentral:rRNA from 1 species
GAUGAUCCGGUGCUUGCGCCGGGGAUUAGUGGCGAACGGGUGAGUAACACGUGAGUAACCUGCCCUUGACUCUGGGAUAAGCCUGGGAAACUGGGUCUAAUACCGGAUAUGACUCCUCAUCGCAUGGUGGGGGGUGGAAAGCUUUUGUGGUUUUGGAUGGACUCGCGGCCUAUCAGCUUGUUGGUGAGGUAAUGGCUCACCAAGGCGACGACGGGUAGCCGGCCUGAGAGGGUGACCGGCCACACUGGGACUGAGACACGGCCCAGACUCCUACGGGAGGCAGCAGUGGGGAAUAUUGCACAAUGGGCGCAAGCCUGAUGCAGCGACGCCGCGUGAGGGAUGACGGCCUUCGGGUUGUAAACCUCUUUCAGUAGGGAAGAAGCGAAAGUGACGGUACCUGCAGAAGAAGCGCCGGCUAACUACGUGCCAGCAGCCGCGGUAAUACGUAGGGCGCAAGCGUUAUCCGGAAUUAUUGGGCGUAAAGAGCUCGUAGGCGGUUUGUCGCGUCUGCCGUGAAAGUCCGGGGCUCAACUCCGGAUCUGCGGUGGGUACGGGCAGGCUAGAGUGAUGUAGGGGAGACUGGAAUUCCUGGUGUAGCGGUGAAAUGCGCAGAUAUCAGGAGGAACACCGAUGGCGAAGGCAGGUCUCUGGGCAUUAACUGACGCUGAGGAGCGAAAGCAUGGGGAGCGAACAGGAUUAGAUACCCUGGUAGUCCAUGCCGUAAACGUUGGGCACUAGGUGUGGGGGACAUUCCACGUUUU